rnacentral:rRNA from 1 species
AUGAUCUUCGGAUUAAAGCAUUUAUGCGCUUUGGGAGCGGCCCGCGUCGGAUUAGCUUGUUGGUGAGGUAAAGGCUCACCAAGGCGACGAUCCGUAGCUGGUCUGAGAGGAUGAUCAGCCAGACUGGGACUGAGACACGGCCCAGACUCCUACGGGAGGCAGCAGUAAGGAAUCUUCCACAAUGGGCGAAAGCCUGAUGGAGCAACGCCGCGUGCAGGAUGAAGGCCCUCGGGUCGUAAACUGCUUUUAUAAGUGAAGAAUAUGACGGUAACUUAUGAAUAAGGAUCGGCUAACUACGUG